rnacentral:rRNA from 1 species
GACAGAGGAUGCAAGCGUUAUCCGGAAUGAUUGGGCGUAAAGCGUCUGUAGGUGGCUUUUUAAGUCUGCCGUCAAAUCCCAGGGCUUAACCCUGGACAGGCGGUGGAAACUACCAAGCUGGAGUACGGUAGGGGCAGAGGGAAUUUCCGGUGGAGCGGUGAAAUGCGUAGAGAUCGGAAAGAACACCAACGGCGAAGAGCACUCGCUGGGCCGACACUGACACUGAGAGACGAAAGCUAGGGGAGCGAAUGGGG